GAUGAAGAACGCAGCGAAAUGCGAUAAGUAGUGUGAAUUGCAGAAUUCAGUGAAUCAUCGAAUCUUUGAACGCACAUUGCGCCCUUUGGUAUUCCAAAGGGCAUGCCUGUUCGAGCGUCAUUUGUACCCUCAAGCUUUGCUUGGUGUUGGGCGUCUUGUCUCUAGCUUUGCUGGAGACUCGCCUUAAAGUAAUUGGCAGCCGGCCUACUGGUUUCGGAGCGCAGCACAAGUCGCACUCUCUAUCAACAAAGGUCUAGCAUCCAUUAAGCCUUUUUUUCAACUUUUGACCUCGGAUCAGGUAGGGAUACCCGCUGAACUUAAGCAUAUCAAUAAGCGGAGGA
rnacentral:misc_RNA from 1 species